AUUGAACGCUGGCGGCAUGCCUUACACAUGCAAGUCGAACGGUAACAGGUCUUCGGAUGCUGACGAGUGGCGAACGGGUGAGUAAUACAUCGGAACGUGCCUAGUAGUGGGGGAUAACUACUCGAAAGAGUGGCUAAUACCGCAUGAGAUCUACGGAUGAAAGCAGGGGAUCGCAAGACCUUGUGCUACUAGAGCGGCCGAUGGCAGAUUAGGUAGUUGGUGGGAUAAAAGCUUACCAAGCCGACGAUCUGUAGCUGGUCUGAGAGGACGAUCAGCCACACUGGGACUGAGACACGGUCCAGACUCCUACGGGAGGCAGCAGUGGGGAAUAUUGCACAAUGGGGGAAAGCCUGACGCAGCGACGCCGCGUGGAGGAUGAAGGUCUUAGGAUUGUAAACUCCUGUCAGGUGGGAAGAAAAGCUUAUUUCUAAUAAAUAUAGGUAAUGACUGUACCAUCAGAGGAAGCACUGGCUAACCUCGUGCCAGCAGCCGCGGUAA
rnacentral:rRNA from 1 species